AGCUUUGCGCAGUGGCAGUAUCAUAGCCAAUGAGGUUUAUCCAAGGCGUGAUUAUUGCUAAUUGAGAACUAACUGCAGUUUCAGGGGCGCCUGGGUGGCUCAGUCGUUAAGCGUCUGCCUUUGGCUCAGGUCA
rnacentral:snRNA from 1 species